CUGCCAUUGCCAUCGCCGUCUUUCCUGCUGCUCGCAUCGAAACGCGGACUCCCCCUCCCCACUCUCUCUCCCUCUCUCUCUCUCUCUGUCUCGUUCCGGCCGAUCGCCGUGGGCAACGCUCACGCCUGACCCGGUCCCGGCAGGUGGGCUUCGGGCCCCUUUUCCGGCCUUCACGUCCGCCCGUGGGUCACGACACCCUGCUGCUCUUCGAACCUUUGGCCUCUUCUGUGAAAUCCGCCGGGCCAUGUUGAAGUUGAAGGGAAGCGGACGUGUGAGGCGAUCUUCAUCCUCCGUGCCAACGACGAUCCCAGUGGUUGUCGCUGGAUGUAACAGCAACUCCAUGUGGAAGCUGCUGUCAGUUCCAGUGGAGGUGCUGUUACCUGCAGAGACCGACCAAUUACCAAAGGUUGCCGCUGCCGAUUGGAGAAAGUAUUUAUUUAUUAAUUUAUUUUGACGCAAUGGGCCACAAGGUGAUGACCUAUGAAUUGACAGCCAGUGAUUUCAACCAUCUGCCUGUCAGUUCUGUAGGCCACUGCUGCGUUUGUUCCUCUGAGCCUUCACAGAUUUGAAGCCGGUGACGUUUUAACUUUUUUGUUUUUGUCUUUUGUUUUUGUGAACUUGCAAUAAAUAAAAUAUACAGUUA